UGCAUCGAUGAAGAACGCAGCAAACUGCGAUACUUAGUGUGAAUUGCAGAAUUCAGUGAAUCAUCGAGUCUUUGAAUGCAAAUGGCGCUCCUGGUUUCGCCAGGAGCACAUCUGUCUGAGUGUUUGAUUUUACUGUGUACUUAAUGCUAGUACUCGUUGAGGUGUUGUCCUGGUAGCUUUUGUUUGACUACGGGCCAUCCCUUGAAGUAAUGCGAACCCAUUGUCUUCGGGUGCAAGCACACACACGUAGUGCAUGCUCUGGCGGCUCUGGUGGUUUACGCUGACCUAUUAUCAACAAACUAAACCUCAGAUCAGGUGAGAGUACCCGCUGAAUUUAAGCAUAUCAAUAAGCGGAGGA
rnacentral:rRNA from 1 species